rnacentral:tRNA from 1 species
GCCUGGCUGGCUCAAUCCAUAGAGCAUGUGACUCUUAAUCUUAGGAUCAUGAGUUCAAGCCCCAUGUUGGGCA